UACAGAGGUCCCAAGCGUUGUUCGGAUUCAUUGGGCGUAAAGGGUGCGUAGGCGGCGCGGUAAGUCGGGUGUGAAAUCUCGGGGCUUAACUCCGAGACUGCAUUCGAUACUGCCGUGCUUGAGGACUGGAGAGGAGACUGGAAUUUACGGUGUAGCGGUGAAAUGCGUAGAUAUCGUAAGGAAGACCAGUGGCGAAGGCGGGUCUCUGGACAGUUCCUGACGCUGAGGCACGAAGGUCAGGGGAGCAAACGGG
rnacentral:rRNA from 1 species